rnacentral:rRNA from 1 species
GAUGAACGCUGGCGGCGUGCUUAACACAUGCAAGUCGAACGGAAAGGCCCUGCUUUUGUUGGGUGCUCGAGUGGCGAACGGGUGAGUAACACGUGAGUAACCUGCCCUUGACUUCGGGAUAAAUCUAGGAAACUGGGGCUAAUACCGGAUAGGACCUCCUGCUGCAUGGUGUUGGUUAGAGAGUUUCGGCGGUGGGGUAUGGUCUCGCUGUUUAUGCGCUUGUUGGUGGGGUUGGGGCAUACAAGGGCUUUGACGGAUAGCCGGCCUGAGAGGGUGACCGGCCACAAGGGGACUGAGAUAGGCCCCAGUCGCCUACGGGAGGGAACAGGGGGAAAUUUUACACAGUGGGCGGGAGUGAGGGACAGCGGCCCCGUGGGCGUGAUGACCGUUUGCGGGGUAAAAACCGCUGUCGAGUGAGAAGGAGCGUUAGUGACGGUAACUGGUAAAGAAGCACCGGCUAACUACGUG